rnacentral:tRNA from 1 species
GGGGUUUUAGCUCAAUAGGUAGAGCGUAGGCUUUGCAAGUCUAAGGUUGCAGGUUCGAGACCAGUAAGCUCCA